rnacentral:piRNA from 1 species
UGAUGACGAAAAAGCAGAGCUACUGGCC